UGAGGCCCCGAGACCCCCCUAUGGCCUCGUGUCACCUGUCCCCCCUGUCCCAGGUGUCCCCAUGUCACCUGUCUCACCUGUCUCACCUGUCCCAGGUGUCACUGUCCCCGCGGGUCCGGGCCCUGUCCCAGCACCUGCAGCAGCUCCGGGGGGAGGUCGAGGCCCUUCGGGGGCGGCUCCGGGGGGGGCACCUGGGGGGGACCCCCCGCAGGGCCCCCCCAGGUGACCCUCCCCCC